rnacentral:lncRNA from 1 species
CUCCACCACCAGAGUAACCACCCUCGCGUCUUCCGCCGCCACCUCCGUAUCCACCGCCACCACCUCCGUAGCCACCGCCGCCGCUGCGGUAUCCACCGCCACCACCACCACGGCCGCCUCCGCCACCGCUUCCACGUGACUGAGCCUCGUUCACAGUGAUGCUGCGACCAUCGAGCUCCUGUCCGUUCAUUCCCUCAAUGGCGUCUUUCAUGGAUUUCUCAUCCUUGAAAGUGACGAAUCCGAAUCCCCUCGAUCUUCCAGUCUCACGAUCGUUAAUGAUCUGGAAACAUAAAAACGAAACAGAUCAGCCAAAUAAUCCAACACAGACGGACACACAAAUCGAGCCAAAAAAUUUCAAAAAGAAAACGAUCGAUCUCCGGGCUCAUAAAAGCAGGAAGAUGAACGUACCGAUUGGGAAAAACAAGUAACAGAGUAACAAAGAACGAG